rnacentral:rRNA from 1 species
CGUAGGUGGCAAGCGUUGUCCGGAAUUAUUGGGCGUAAAGCGCGCGCAGGCGGUCCUUUAAGUCUGAUGUGAAAGCCCACGGCUCAACCGUGGAGGGUCAUUGGAAACUGGGGGACUUGAGUACAGAAGAGAAGAGUGGAAUUCCACGUGUAGCGGUGAAAUGCGUAGAGAUGUGGAGGAACACCAGUGGCGAAGGCGACUCUUUGGUCUGUAACUGACGCUGAGGCGCGAAAGCGUGGGGAGCAAACAGGAUUAGAUACCCUGGUAGUCCACGCUGUAAACGAUGAGUGCUAAGUGUUAGAGGGUUUCCGCCCUUUAGCGCUGCAGCUAACGCAUUAAGCACUCCGCCUGGGGAGUACGGCCGCAAGGCUG